rnacentral:tRNA from 1 species
CCUCCCAUAGCUCAGCGGUAGAGCAUUCGGCUGUAACCCGAAGUGUCUCCGGUUCAAAUCCGGAUGGGGGGA